CUCCAAUGGUAAGAGCCAAUGAGU
rnacentral:siRNA from 1 species